UACGGAGGAUCCGAGCGUUAUCCGGAUUUAUUGGGUUUAGAGGGUGCGCAGGCGGGAGAUUAAGUCGGCGGUGAAAUUUUGCAGCUCAACUGUAAAAGUGCCUUCGAUACUGGUUUCCUUGAGUGUGGAUGAAGUAGGCGGAAUUUGUGGUGUAGCGGUGAAAUGCUUAGAUAUCACGAGGAACUCCGAUUGCGCAGGCAGCUUACUAAACCACUACUGACGCUCAGGCACGAAGGCGUGGGGAUCAAACAGGAUUAGAUACCCGGGUA
rnacentral:rRNA from 1 species